AUUGAACGCUGGCGGCAUGCCUAACACAUGCAAGUCGAACGGCAGCACAAUAAAGAUUUCGGUCUUUAUGGGUGGCGAGUGGCGGACGGGUGAGUAACGCGUAGGAAUCUGUCCUGGAGAGAGGGAUAACCCGAGGAAACUCGGGCUAAUACUGCAUGACAUUGAGAGAUCAAAAUCAGGGGACCGAAAGGCCUUGCGCUCUGGGGUGAGCCUACGUCGGAUUAGCUAGUUGGUGGGGUAAAGGCCUACCAAGGCGACGAUCCGUAGCUGGUCUGAGAGGAUGACCAGCCACACUGGGACUGAGACACGGCCCAGACUCCUACGGGAGGCAGCAGUGGGGAAUCUUGGACAAUGGGGGAAACCCUGAUCCAGCGAUGCCGUGUGUGUGAAGAAGGCCUUCGGGUUGUAAAGCACUUUAGGUGGGGAAGAAAGGUAGCGAGUGAAUAACUUUCUGCUGUGACGGUACCCACAGAAUAAGCACCGGCUAACUCUGUGCCAGCAGCCGCCGUAA
rnacentral:rRNA from 1 species